UUCAAAAGGUGCAUUAUAAAUAGAAGGGGAUGAGCUAAAACAUUUAAUUUUCCUUGAUUGAUUAUUCUCUUCCUCGUUAGGAUGAGAAAAAUAUGAGUAAAAUGGGGAGAUUUCAAGUCCACCUUUCUUGUUGUCAUCCCCAUUCCUCUAUGAUCAUCAUCAAGAACAAAGAAGGAACACUGCAAGGGAAGCCAGUCUCUAGCUAGAAGAUAGGUUAAUGGAGGCUCUUGGCAAGGAAAGAGAACAUAAAAUUAUAGAAGAAGAUAAAGGGUUCAACUCAUGGAUGGUUAAGCUUACAUACAAUCAAGGUCAUCAAAAUCAUUAUCACCAUCCUUGUGUUAAGGUGGCCUUCUCUAAGUUUUAUCUUUUCUAGGUUAAGCUUAGGGAUAAUAUGUCUAAGGAAUUAAGGUCAUGAUGAAUUUGUUAAAUGUUAUUUGUGAUACAUGCUAAUAAUAUUAGAUAUUUAAGGAACGAUUGAUGAUUUUUAUCCAUGUUGGAACCCUAGGAUGAAAUUGUGCAAGAACACCAUGUUAGUGUUUUACUUAUAACUUUCAUUACAGAGAUUUAUUAAGAGUGAAAGUUGAACCAUUGGAAAAUAGAUAGAACUUUUCACAAAAUAGGCUUUGGAAGAACUUGAAUUUGUUAAGUAUAGUGUGGGAAAUAUCAGUUUUAAUUUGAACGACACAAAUUAUGUGAUAUUGUGUGUGGGUUUAUAUGUAUAUACUCUUAAUAAAUCCUUCAUUACUUUCCAUGUAGAUAUUCUUUUUGGAUGAGAUUGAAACUUAAAUAAACUAGACACAUUUGUACCUGAAA
rnacentral:lncRNA from 1 species